rnacentral:rRNA from 1 species
CCUAUAAGACUGGGAUAACUUCGGGAAACCGGGGCUAAUGCCGGAUAACAUUUAGAACCGCAUGGUUCUAAAGUGAAAGAUGGUUUUGCUAUCACUUAUAGAUGGACCCGCGCCGUAUUAGCUAGUUGGUAAGGUAAUGGCUUACCAAGGCAACGAUACGUAGCCGACCUGAGAGGGUGAUCGGCCACACUGGAACUGAGACACGGUCCAGACUCCUACGGGAGGCAGCAGUAGGGAAUCUUCCGCAAUGGGCGAAAGCCUGACGGAGCAACGCCGCGUGAGUGAUGAAGGGUUUCGGCUCGUAAAACUCUGUUAUUAGGGAAGAACAAACGUGUAAGUAACUGUGCACGUCUUGACGGUACCUAAUCAGAAAGCCACGGCUAACUACGUGCUAGCAGCCGCGGUAAUACGUAGGUGGCAAGCGUUAUCCGGAAUUAUUGGGCGUAAAGCGCGCGUAGGCGGUUUCUUAAGUCUGAUGUGAAAGCCCACGGCUCAACCGUGGAGGGUCAUUGGAAACUGGGAGACUUGAGUGCAGAAGAGGAAAGUGGAAUUCCAUGUGUAGCGGUGAAAUGCGCAGAGAUAUGGAGGAACACCAGUGGCGAAGGCGACUUUCUGGUCUGUAACUGACGCUGAUGUGCGAAAGCGUGGGGAUCAAACAGGAUUAGAUACCCUGGUAGUCCACGCCGUAAACGAUGAGUGCUAAGUGUUAGGGGGUUUCCGCCCCUUAGUGCUGCAGCUAACGCAUUAAGCACUCCGCCUGGGGAGUACGACCGCAAGGUUGAAACUCAAA